CCCGCCCUGACGCUGUGCAGUACCUUUGAAGUAUUUUGAUGGUCACAUGUCGUGGUCACUGUCUGAGGUCAGGAGAGAAUGUGAAUGUUCUUGUUCCCCUCAUCGGUACCGAUGACGGUGCAAACAGUUCCAAGCGUCUGAAACACACAACUGUAGCUCUUUGACUCAGGUUUGACACACGCACACACCCCCGCAUGGCUUUGUAUCACUGAACUCCCUUUACCAGUAUGUGUGUGUGUGUGUGUGUGUGUGUGUGUGUGUCUGUAUGUUUCUAUCAGGGCUCUGUGUUCAUCAUUCACCUGUGAUGUUCCUCUGACCCACUGUUUGACCCCCGGGGCUAAAAGGUCACUUGUUGUCACUAUUUUUUUUUUGUCAUAAUUGACCCAUAUUUGAUGUUUCAGGACAAAUCCGACCCGGUUCACUUUUAAAUUUUUGGUCCUCAAUCGGCUGCGUGUCUGAUGUUUAUUCAACGUGACCUCAGCGUGAACCCUGGAGUCACGUCUCAUCAAACGUCUAAAUGUAAAUAAUGGAGGAAACAAAUGUUUUAGUGACUGGUGAAGGAGCUCGUCGACGUUCCAGAGGCUUCUCUGAUAUUAGGUGUCGUUAGGAAAGACCCCCCCCAGAGGUGUGUGUGGGGCGUUACAGCUGGAGAGCGGCCCCUUCAUGGUCAUGGACUGUUCACCCUAGAGUCUGAUGGUGGUAGCAUUUAAACUUUUUUAAACUUUAUUGUGAACACACUAACAGGAUGAAGGGACAGUUUGCCCGACAACUGCUGAUGUCACCUCUGACCUAUCGUUGAUGACGGAGUGACCUGACGUGUUCACGUGGUCUGUGCUGUGGUCGUACUGUAAAAAGAUGUUAGCAUCCCCUCGUGAAGUUCCCACAGAUCUGGGAUUUCACAACAUUUUUUAAAAAGUUGUUUGUGGCAGAAACAGCGCCUCUAACUGGAGAGUACAGUAAUGCAUGUCCAUUUUACCAGGACAUCGAAGGCACCACUGUCUCUCACUCUCUGUACUUUAGGGUCCGGUCUACUUGAGUCGUGUUUUUAGGGAGUAGAAGACUCCAGCUAGCAGGGCGCGGCCAGUCGACUUUUUCCUAGGUCAGUUAAAGCAUCGCUGGCUUGCCUUUGUCACAAGCUGGUGGUCAUGUGGUCCAAGAUCUGGCCUCUCACACAGAUGAGUGACCAGUUUGGGCCAAAAUGACUCUUUUUUGCACAGUAAUCCUGCAGGUACCUAGAGGGAGAGAGGAAGAGAGAGAGAGGUUGAGAUUGUAUUGGAGUGUGUACCAGAUGAUUGUAUGAAGUCCAGUCCUCAGUCCAGUGUGUUCCUGUUCCUGUUCCUGCACAAAGAUCAUUUUAUUAGUGAUCAGACUUUAAGUCACAUUGAAUCACCUCAGGGAGAAAAACAGACUUUCACACACACACACACACACACACACACACUGCUACAGUCUUCAGUCCAUGAUGUCAUCACCAUCUCUCCAGGAUCCCAGGCCUCCUUCACUCAGUCAGUAUUGUUUCCUUCCUCAGUGUGUGAGUAAGGGCUUCACACUCCUCACGCGCUGUGUUUUUUUUAUCUCCCCCGUCCUCCCCCCUUCACCUCCACCACCAGUUUGUCCUUGUGUCUCUAUCGCUCUCUUCCUCUCGUCUCGUCUUCUUCUCCUGCUUGUUCAAGCAAAAUGCAAAGAAUGUUUCUAGCAAACACUUUUUGUAACAACUUUAAACAAAUAAAGUGAAAAAUUGACUUCUACCGCGGUGUUUUUUCAUCACUGAUGUAUGAAAGUGCUCCCCUUCUCCCUCUGCGUUUCCCCUGGUAACCACCAGGGGGGGCAAAGACCAAGGGCGGCCGUGCUGCAACUGGUAUCUGUGACGAACACAGUUACUUUAACCAAACUUAGAAAUGUCUUUAACCAAACCUGGAGAUGUCACGAUUACACGAUACGACAAUUAAUUGCCGUAUCAAGCGCUACGGUUAAUUAUUCGUUAAAGUUUCCUGAAUAUUGUCCGAAAAUAUUAUGCCGGAAUUAUAUUUAAGCCCAACUCAAACGGAACGAAAACAACGUUACACAACGUCCGCGUGUUUCCGCGUGUGUUGCUUUGUUUACGGUCCAUUCAAAUUGCAGAAUAGAGGCGUGACCACGUGGGAAAAUGGAAGAAGAAGAAGAAGAAGAAAACGAAGAAGAGUUAUUCCCCUCAAUCAAGCGCAUUUUACCAGCCGUGUUGGAUUAUUUUGACCACAUAUUAUGUUGACCACAUAAUAAAUAUUAUUAUUAUAACUCACAAUUGAUUAUUAAUAACUUAAGACCUACAUGGAAUGUUGUGAAAUCAAUUAACAAUAAUCGUGAUAUUCGAAAUAUCGUGAUAAAUUCUCUGACAAUAAACUGUAAUCGUGACAUCACUGCUAAUGACACACACACACAUAGGAGUGAAGGAUUCUGGGAGCAGCUCCUGAACCUGUGGCCUCCCUCCAUCCUCGUGCCUCACUCAGUGUGUUUACUCUUGUUCACUGGUGCGGUCAUGUGUUUGACGAAGGACAUGAUGUGACCGAAGCCUGGGGGCGGGGGGUCCAGAGUGGACCGAGGUCUUCGGGGUCAGACUCGGGGAAUUUUCCUCCUGUUUAGAAACCAAUGCAGUUGAACCCAUGUGUAGUUUAAUAUUAAAUUAUUUGUGUUCUCAGGUGUGACCGGGGUCAUAUCAUAGAUGUCCACUGUCCUGAUGAUCAUCACUGAUGAAUAACUUUGACUGGUCCACAUGGUCCAACUAUGGGAAAACAAACAGCGAGAGCAAAGUCCAUCUGGACAGAGUGGAAAUGGAAAUGAGGUGAAUGACCUCUGGAGGGAGAGGGUGGGGGAGGAGAGAGUUUGGAACCAGCUCCUGUUCCAGAGGAGGACUCAUUUUCUACAGUGAGAGAAAAACGACCAGUGUCGAGGAGAAGACGUGUCAUCGGAGGGAGUGAAGAACAGACCGAUCCUGGUUCUUCAGCUGAAAGAACUUCAGCCAAAGAUGACAGUGUGUUCUAGAAGUACCAGGUGGAGGAGCGGGUGGUGCAGCACCACAUCACCUCUGGUCCACGUCCUGUGUCUGGUCCUCACAGUGGUCUACGUCCUGCUGGACAAACUCAGGAACUUCGUGGCCGGAAUCUUCAUCCCUCAGUACCAUUGUCCGUACGUGGUGGCGCUCUCUUUCGCUCAGGUUCUUGUGUCAUUGUUGGUUCUAAACCUGCUCCAUCUUCUGGGUCUGGUUCCUCUGAAGCCCGUCUCCUGUUCUCUGGCUGAGAAGCUGCUGGUUCCCUCCAUCUGUGGCAGCGUUCUCACGGUUCUGUCUCUGUGGGCUCAGGCCAACGGUUCCUCCUCUGGACUCUUCUCUGUCACUCUCCCUCUGCUGCCUCUCCUCACCGCAGCCUUCAGUUUCAUCCUGAAGCUGUCGACUCCGCCUUCAGCCCACGUCUGCGUCCUGGUGUCCAUGCUGAGUGGGACGUGUCUGGUCGCGGCAGUCUCCAGUGGUGUGUCCGUGGUGGAACCUCUGGAGAACCUCUACGCUCCUCUGGCCUCACUGCUCCACUGUCUCUCCCUCAACUGGCUCCUCAAAGUAUCUGAGGCCGAGCGUCUCCACCACUCCGACGACUCCACGUCCGUUUUUCACCUCUUCCACGCCCAGCUGGUGGUCCAGAUGUGGGUGUUGGGCCUCCUGUGGCUCCUCCACCCAGACGGUCCAGGGGAGGUGUUGAGUCAGGGCAGCUGGAACAGCCUGCUCUUCCAUGGAUACCUGCUGGCUCUGCUGCUGCUGGGAAUGCUCCUCAACUUCCUGGUGUUCGCGACGGCUCUCUGCGUGUCUCCACUGUCUGCGGCGAUGCUGCUCUCAGCAGAACAGGUUCUCAAGAUGUUGGUCUCCGUUCUGUGACAUCACCUCAACAACUGUGCUGUGGAACUGGUCUUGUAUCACGGUUCGUUUACACUUAGGGAUGACCUCAGAACCAGGACCAGAACCAGCACCAGGUUCAGCAUGCACCCUCUCUCCCCGACUCACCCUGAAGUAGCCGUUGCUCUUCAGACUGCCCAGGAAUCCUUUCCACUGAGGGUUACAGCUGACGGGGGCGUCGGGCUCAGACGACGGCAGUCUGCAUUUAGAACACAGAAUCUCAAAGCCAUGGGCCUGAGGUCAGAGCAGGGAGAAAAACAGGAACCAAAAGGUUUAAAAAAAAGAAAAGGUUUACUUCUUAUUUAAUUCUCAUUAUUGUCCGUCUAAUAAGAAACAAAUACUGAACCAGUUUCAUUCCCAGCUCGUGAGCUUUGUACUGAGGAUGGGAACUCGGAGGCAGAGAGAAGCCACUCCUCCGGUCGGGGCUGAAGUGUUGCUGCUGCAGCUGAGCGUACAGGCAGCGGGUGAACGUCACCUGAGGGUGUAGAGUGAGGACAGAGACACGGAGAAGAUAAGAACAAUGUAGAACGUCAAUGAACGUCACACUCUGUUCCGUCUGCUCAGCUACUGUCCCAUAUUUACCGAGGUCAAGACCCGCGUGUCAGGAGGGAACGUCCUGAAGCUCCGGCACGCCUGUAGAUCUACUGGAUCCCGCAGAUAAAAGGCUGACACUGCAGGAGCGACCAGGUCUGGUCUUAGUGUCAACACCUGAGCGACGCCCGCAGGUACGAAGCAAUGAGCACGAUGGAGAUUGGUUCCAAUCUUCUCUGGAUACCUACCAACAAAAGAUAAUGAACAGUUAUUUUUGGACUUGCUCUGCAGGCGUCAGGCUGGGUGUAGAGCAACGACAGAGCCUGUGCCACACUGGGUACCACAUCCUUGGCAAUUCCCAGUGGACUGGAUUUGGACGGACAAGGAAGGAUGUGUAAUUCUCCC